rnacentral:lncRNA from 1 species
AAAAACAAAACUCUAAUGAAAAAGAAGAAAAACGUUAAACCUUAGUCUCUCAAUCUCUCACUCUCCCAAUCUCCCAGCUCUUAAACACGAACCCUAGUAUCUCAAUCUCCAAAUCUCUCAACUCUCAAACACGAACCCUAAUUUUUUAAUCUCUCAGUCUCUUUGCGGUGAAGAACUCCUUGCGUUUUAAGGUAUACGAAGAUACAAACAAAGUUCAUAAUCCUUUCUCCUUUAUUCAUC